UUCGUGCAAUGGGUAUGAAUGUUGUUUUUGGCGGCGUAUGCGCUGUCCUGUGUUGAUAGACGUCUUAAUAAUUCCAAAAAAAAUAAUUUUUCCAUGAAGUCAUGCGUGAGGGGAUCGGUUCUGAUUGAGGACAUCGUGAAUGCGUGAGGGGAAGUACAAACAUUUUUUUUUUAAUCUUUGGCUUUGUGACUUUUGUUGACUCAAUGAAUAAAUGUGAUCAAAUCAAUGCUGAUUAAAAAGCACAGAUUUAUCCUUAUACUUUAAUAGACGUAAACUGAUCACUGAUUCAAUGAAAUCAAACUAUAAAUUG
rnacentral:lncRNA from 1 species